rnacentral:rRNA from 1 species
UACGGAGGAUCCAAGCGUUAUCCGGAUUUAUUGGGUUUAAAGGGUGCGUAGGCGGCUUUUUAAGUCAGGGGUGAAAGACGGUAGCUUAACUAUCGCAGUGCCUUUGAUACUGAUAGGCUUGAAUGUACUUGAGGUAGGCGGAAUGUGACAAGUAGCGGUGAAAUGCAUAGAUAUGUCACAGAACACCAAUUGCGAAGGCAGCUUACUAAAGUAUGAUUGACGCUGAGGCACGAAAGCGUGGGGAUCAAACAGG